AGUCCAUUGUCUCCACUCAUGUUCUCCUGGUUCUCCUUGGUCAUAGGAUGAGGUGGGAAGACAAAUUUCAGAUGAUAACGUGAUUAAUGAUGCAAGAUGCGAAGAAGAUAGUUCAUCAGUAGUUUGACGAAGAGGACCUAAUCACGGGUCUCAAAUUCCAACCAAUAUUGAUGAACGGACUCAAAUAAAUGUGGUUAUGAAUAAAUUUGUCGAAAAUGAGGUUCCUCGUGAAAUUACAAAUGAUAUAAAAGGAGUGAUUAAAGGAGUAUGGCCAACGUGGAAAAAGUUGAGAUAUAAUUGAGAUAAUUUUACCGACAGAGAAAUGAAAAAGGUAUGGAAUGAAAAUUCAAGUGAGAGAUACAGGGCAUCCAUUCAUU